rnacentral:rRNA from 1 species
UACGAAGGUCCCAAGCGUUAUCCGGAUUUAUUGGGUUUAAAGGGUGCGUAGGCGGGCUGUGAAGUCAGUGGUGAAAGCUCCAUGCCUAACAUGGAAAAUGCCAUUGAUACUGACGGUCUUGAGUACAUUUGAAGUGGGCGGAAUGUGUCAUGUAGCGGUGAAAUGCUUAGAUAUGGCACAGAACACCGAUUGCGUAGGCAGCUCACUAAGCUGUAACUGACGCUGAGGCACGAAAGCGUGGGGAGCAAACAGG